rnacentral:rRNA from 1 species
AAACCGCAAAGAGGUAAACGGGUGGAUCCGCGAGGUCGGCCCUGGGAAUUCAGCCCAGCAUGUUGGGGCGGCUUGGAUGUGGCGAUCUGUCCAGGACUCCACGUUCUCGCGUCGGCUUCCAGCGAGCAGGGUGCACUUUCUCCGGGUCGAGUGCCACGACCGGUUCCGCGCUAGUCAGGAGCCCGGCGGCAAGGUUACUGUAACAGGUGUUAUAGGCCGCCGAGGUGGACACGCUGCGGGACCGAGGAUGCUUGCCGCAUUCCACGGCUUCGGGUCGUACGGGCGCGUCCAACGUUGGCGUCACUUCUCGCAAGUGCGCCGAGACCGCGUGCCUGUCACGGGCCCGUCUGCCGGGGGUGCCUCGUGUCGGUGGCCAAACGGUCGGUCCUCCACCCGACCCGUCUUGAAACACGGACCAAGGAGUCUAACAUGUGCGCGAGUCAAGGGGUCUAACGAAACCCAAAGGCGCAAUGAAAGUGAAGGCCGCCUCCGGUUGGCCUAGGCGGGAUCCCGUCCCGUUCGCGGGGCGGGCGCACUGCCGGCCCGUCUCGGCUGCAUCGUCAGCGAGGCGGAGCAAGAGCGCACACGUUGGGACCCGAAAGAUGGUGAACUAUGCCUGAGUAGGACGAAGUCAGAGGAAACUCUGAUGGAGGUCCGUAGCGAUUCUGACGUGCAAAUCGAUCGUCAAACUUGGGUAUAGGGGCGAAAGACUAAUCGAACCAUCUAGUAGCUGGUUCCCUC